CCAGAGUUUGAUCAUGGCUCAGAUUGAACGCUGGCGGCAGGCCUAACACAUGCAAGUCGAGCGGAAACGAGUUAUCUGAACCUUCGGGGGACGAUAACGGCGUCGAGCGGCGGACGGGUGAGUAAUGCCUAGGAAAUUGCCCUGAUGUGGGGGAUAACCAUUGGAAACGAUGGCUAAUACCGCAUGAUGCCUACGGGCCAAAGAGGGGGACCUUCGGGCCUCUCGCGUCAGGAUAUGCCUAGGUGGGAUUAGCUAGUUGGUGAGGUAAGGGCUCACCAAGGCGACGAUCCCUAGCUGGUCUGAGAGGAUGAUCAGCCACACUGGAACUGAGACACGGUCCAGACUCCUACGGGAGGCAGCAGUGGGGAAUAUUGCACAAUGGGCGCAAGCCUGAUGCAGCCAUGCCGCGUGUGUGAAGAAGGCCUUCGGGUUGUAAAGCACUUUCAGUCGUGAGGAAGGUGGUGUAGUUAAUAGCUGCAUUAUUUGACGUUAGCGACAGAAGAAGCACCGGCUAACUCCGUGCCAGCAGCCGCGGUAAUACGGAGGGUGCGAGCGUUAAUCGGAAUUACUGGGCGUAAAGCGCAUGCAGGUGGUUUGUUAAGUCAGAUGUGAAAGCCCGGGGCUCAACCUCGGAAUAGCAUUUGAAACUGGCAGACUAGAGUACUGUAGAGGGGGGUAGAAUUUCAGGUGUAGCGGUGAAAUGCGUAGAGAUCUGAAGGAAUACCGGUGGCGAAGGCGGCCCCCUGGACAGAUACUGACACUCAGAUGCGAAAGCGUGGGGAGCAAACAGGAUUAGAUACCCUGGUAGUCCACGCCGUAAACGAUGUCUACUUGGAGGUUGUGGCCUUGAGCCGUGGCUUUCGGAGCUAACGCGUUAAGUAGACCGCCUGGGGAGUACGGUCGCAAGAUUAAAACUCAAAUGAAUUGACGGGGGCCCGCACAAGCGGUGGAGCAUGUGGUUUAAUUCGAUGCAACGCGAAGAACCUUACCUACUCUUGACAUCCAGAGAACUUUCCAGAGAUGGAUUGGUGCCUUCGGGAACUCUGAGACAGGUGCUGCAUGGCUGUCGUCAGCUCGUGUUGUGAAAUGUUGGGUUAAGUCCCGCAACGAGCGCAACCCUUAUCCUUGUUUGCCAGCGAGUAAUGUCGGGAACUCCAGGGAGACUGCCGGUGAUAAACCGGAGGAAGGUGGGGACGACGUCAAGUCAUCAUGGCCCUUACGAGUAGGGCUACACACGUGCUACAAUGGCGCAUACAGAGGGCGGCCAACUUGCGAAAGUGAGCGAAUCCCAAAAAGUGCGUCGUAGUCCGGAUUGGAGUCUGCAACUCGACUCCAUGAAGUCGGAAUCGCUAGUAAUCGUGGAUCAGAAUGCCACGGUGAAUACGUUCCCGGGCCUUGUACACACCGCCCGUCACACCAUGGGAGUGGGCUGCAAAAGAAGUAGGUAGUUUAACCUUCGGGGGGACGCUUACCACUUUGUGGUUCAUGACUGGGGUGAAGUCGUAACAAGGUAGCCGUA
rnacentral:rRNA from 1 species